rnacentral:lncRNA from 1 species
CUGGCAAAGUAUAAGCAAUUAAAUUUGCAUAGCCACAUCUUUGAAGUGGUCUAAUCUCUCUCCUCUUUCUGCUUUUAACAAUACUAUACUCCUCUUCCCAUGGUACUUAUUUCUUUCAUCUCAAUAAUACCAAGCAUUUUUUUGCACUAAGCUGAGAAAAAAAAUCAUGUUAUAGAAGAACUGAACCAUCACUCCGCAACUC